rnacentral:tRNA from 1 species
GUUCUUAUAGUUGAAGUACAACAAUGAUUUUUCGUGUCAUUAGUCGUGGGUAUAUCCAUGUAAGAAUA